rnacentral:rRNA from 1 species
UACAGAGGGUGCGAGCGUUAAUCGGAAUUACUGGGCGUAAAGCGUGCGUAGACGGCUAUCUAAGUCGGGUGUGAAAGCCCCGGGCUCAACCUGGGAAUUGCAUUCGAGACUGAAUAGCUAGGGUACGGUAGAGGGAAGUGGAAUUUCCGGUGUAGCGGUGAAAUGCGUAGAUAUCGGAAGGAACAUCAGUGGCGAAAGCGGCCUUCUGGUCCAGUACUGACACUCAAGUGCGAAAAGCGUGGGGGAGACCAAACAGG